AUCAUGUUUUAACAAAAGCAAACAUGAAUGAUUACCAUUUGACGCAAACAUAUUUUCUGUCGCGACUGCUUACUGUCACGUAGCCUACCUAAUGCCGAGUGCAAAAGCGUGCAUGCGUAUACCAACGUCGUUAUUAAAGCGCCAAUAUAAACCGUUCGUAUUGUUUUGCAUUAAAACAAGACGACCAAACAUGUAUAUACACACAAGAACCAACACUGAGAAAAAAUCUACAAUAUUUUGCCGCCAGUUUUCAAAUUCAAACUAACAAAGAGGUUUUAGAAUUGAAAACAAUAGGUUACUGUUAUGUCAUAUUCCCGACAAACAGCAUACAUCAUGAAGCAAAACUGCUGACACUUUACGAUGAUUUAUGUCUUAAGUUAUGUCUUUUCGUGCUGUCUGGGAGAAAACACAGGACUUUCGGUCACGAUUUGACCCGUGGGUGAAUCCUAUAUAAGACACACAACGCCCAAUCCCUUAUAUUAUAGAUAUAUAGACGUGUAAACAAGCGUAUAUACAGAUUUAACGACAUGUCCAGUUUAACUUGGAUUGCAAUAGUGGGCUUGGUGUGCAUUCACCUUGCACCGUGUGAAGGGAAUAUCUGGGAUAUUAUACAACCAAGAUUCUGUAGCCCUAUCGUUCCACGUCGCCCAGUAAAUGGUGGUUUCAGAUGUCGUUUUGUGAACCAUGCAUGCGUAGCUGGUACAUACUAUUGCAACAGCGGGUACAAGUUGCAAGGACGCAGUUAUAAUGCGUGCUUUAGUCAAACGUGGCUGUUUUCAUCUCCGCCAAGAUGUGUAGAAGAGGGCUGCGACGCACCAACACUACGCAAUGGAGACUACAGUCCACGUAGUUCAAACCACCGAGCAUACUCAGCCAUUACCAUUAGGUGUCGUGACGGUUACAAACCUCGAAGUAGACACAGUAUCUGCCGAGGGUACGGGAGUUAUUAUCACUGGAGUCCAAGCCCAUAUUGUGAACGUGACGCAAAGUGCGACCCACCAAACUUACGGAAUGGAAACUUCAGCCCGCUAAAAUCCAAGUACAACCGAAACACGGCCAUAACAGUGACGUGCAGUCCUGGUUACAAGACUCGUAGCGGCGACAGCUUGAGUUACUGUCGGGGUAACAGUUAUGUCGCGUAUUGGAGACCGCUGCCAUUUUGUUAUUCGACGGUUUGCAACGACCCUGUAGCGCCAACUAACGGACGGGCAAUUCCAGCAACUAGAAUAUCUUGGAGGGUAAAUUCAACUGUGAGAUACGUUUGCAACAAUGGAUUUAAACUUAACGGACAAGACUCGUCAUAUUGCGAAGAAUCUGGAAGCUUUGCUGGUUCUUUACCAAGAUGUGUCAGACGUGCUACGUGCCCGCCACCCAUUCCACCAAGAAACGGUCGAAUGGUACCGAGAUCAAAAACAACAUGGCGAGAAACAGAUCGAGUAAGUUUUUAUUGCGGCUUUGGUUUCACACUGGUUGGUGCAGGUGCGGCUACGUGUCGAGCAAACGGUCGGUGGGACAAUGCUGCCCCAGCAUGCGCGGAGAAAGCUGUGGUAGAAGUUACUACCAACGGUGAUGCAGAAAGGCCGUGGGGUGGAGCAAGGCCGUGGGGUGCAGAAAGGCCGGGUGAUGCAGCAGUAUUUACCACGGGAACCUACUACAAUUAGCCAGCAUAUUCGCAUGUAUAUAAUAUCGUGUUUUCGUUCAGCGCUUAUCAUUCCAUUAAUAAUUCCAUUAAUAAAUAAAACAUGAAAUAAAUCAUCAU